rnacentral:rRNA from 1 species
UACGUAGGUGGCAAGCGUUGUCCGGAAUUAUUGGGCGUAAAGGGCGUGUAGGUGGAUCUUUAAGUCGUGUGUCUAAGUGCGGAGCUCAACUCCGUAUAGGCGCAGGAAACUGGGGAUCUUGAGUGCAGGAGAGGAAAGUGGAAUUCCCAGUGUAGCGGUGAAAUGCGUAGAUAUUGGGAGGAACACCAGUGGCGAAGGCGACUUUCUGGACUGUGUCUGACACUGAGGCGCGAAAGCUAGGGGAGCGAACGGG